rnacentral:rRNA from 1 species
CGGACCUCAGAUCAGGCAAGACCACCCGCUGAGUUUAAGCAUAUCACUAAGCGGAGGAAAAGAAACUAACAAGGAUUUC